GAGUCGCGUCGAGAAGCUGAAAGUGUGUUUCUCACGCGCGCUGCGAGUUUAGACGUUAAUAGACGGAGCUGUGCCCGUUCAUCACUCCGAAGAGGCAGAAAAUCACAAAGGAUGGAGCCUGGACUGCAGCUGAUGACGGGCAGGAGUUGGAGAAAAUGCAUCAGAGACUAAGUCAAAGAAACGUACUACACAACAGUAGUUCACCUUGUUCCUGUUGGGGGGCGCUGAAUUACCUCGGGAGGUAACGUAUAAAGCGG